GAUGAACGCUGGCGGCGUGCCUAACACAUGCAAGUCGAGCGAAAAGACGGUAAGCUCGCUCUUUUGCCGUUAGCGGCUGGCGGGUGGGUGACACGUGGAUAGGCUACUUCUUUGUCUGGGAUUACUACGUGAAACAGCGGACACUACUGCAUCAUACAUUGUACCGCAUGGAUCAAUAGUUCUUGACGGUUUUGCCGUCUGUUUUAGCUGGUUUCGCGUCGGAUUAUCUAGUGGGUAAGGUAACGGCAUACCAAGGCGACGAUCCGUAGCUGGGCUGAGAGGGUGAUCAGCCACACUGGAACUGAGACACGGUCCAGACUCCUACGGGAGGCAGCAGUGGGGAAUCUUCGACAAUGGGCGAAAGCCUGACGCAGCAAUGCCGCGUGAGUGAAGAAGGUCUUCGGGUCGUAAAGCCCUGUUAUUAGGAAAGAAAAAAAGCAGAAUAAACUAUGGACGUCUUGACGGUACCUAAUGAAUAAGCAACGGCUAACUUCGUG
rnacentral:rRNA from 1 species